rnacentral:tRNA from 1 species
ACAGGCGCAUAGCUCAGUUGGUUAGAGCACCACCUUGACAUGGUGGGGGUCGGUGGUUCGACUAAAUUUGCCUGGAGCA